GAUGACGCGCGAGGAAGCGGUGGUGCAGCAGGGAGGGAGACAUCUCAGGACACGGGACGGGCGAGGACACGGUGUCGCAGUGACCUACAUGUGAACGGGUCGCGUGUCCUUGUUAGCACACGUGUGAUCUGCGUAUGACAUUAAUAAAAAGCAGUGCGUGUCUCGUGCGUGACGCGGAUCAACGAUCACAUCGACCUGGGGGCUGAGGUUCACCUGAAGUUAACCCGAUCGCAAUCAGGGGCGGCGGGCACGCGGUGUUCCCGGCUCGUGUAAGUGACGUGGUUCAGCACAGUGUGAUGUCACUCCCAUUCCAAUAUCCCAUGCUAUUUUACGUUAUGACUGUGACGUCAGCAUGAGAUGAGCCCCACUGGUGAAAGUGACGCAGAGCGGCUCUCCGUGGGCCCGGUGCUGUCGUAGGCGUGUCCCCUGGCCCCUGACUUACCGGUGUGGACCCUGAGGUGGGCUUUGAGGUGGGACGACUUCCCGUACACCUUCCCGCAGCCGGGGAAGGGGCAACAGUGUCUCUUCUCGGGAGACUCCUGCCUCCGCGCCGCUUUGUCCCGGGACUGUUUGGGGGCCACCGAGCUCCGGCCGUCCCCGGCACCCAGCCGGCAGCCGGCCCGCUCCACCUUCUCCAGCGGGCCGGCGUCAGUGCCCCCGAGACAUCUGCCGGCAGCCGCGGGGUUACAUUUGUUCAAGUCCAAUAAAAUCAUCGCCACCAUCAGCAACGUCCUGUUCUCCUGGUUCUCUAUCAACAUGUCCUCUGUCCGGCCCGGGUCUCGGCCGGUGGAGACACACUCUGCGGACAUGUCGACCUCCGACAUCACUGAGGCAGAGCCGGCCGGAGAGAGAGAGAAGCCUGGAUGUUAAUCUGCAGGAAGUAGAUCCUGUAUUAAAACAACUGGGGGGCAACACGGAUGCGAUCGGUCCUCCCAGGAGACAUGUGGUCAACCAUCCACACGUGUCCGCUUCAAUGUGGCUGUGCUCAGGCUGCGUCUUCUGCUGCAGGAGGACAAAUAAACAGCUCUCCAGGAAAAACAGACGUGUCAAUCGUCCUCCCUCUUCUUCCCCUUCUUCCUCUUGAUCCUUUCGUUUCCCCAAAGACACGGGUCGAUGAACAGGAGCUUUCCAGAACGCAGCUAUCGUGUCCGCUGUGAUUCUGCCUCUGUUCGCUCCCACAUGCGUCAACUUGUCCUGAUUCAGCCCGAGCUGCACUUCUCUCAACUCCAAGAAACUAUUUCGCGGAAUCCCGCGGUGUCAUAAUAAAGCGUCGCUCUGAUUGGUCGAGAGGACACAUGACUUGGUUUUUGGAAUUGCCUAUUCACACGGGUGAGUGACGGGACGAUCGGCCAAUCACUGACGAAGAAAGGGCUGGACAAGCCUGAUGCUGCCUUCACGUACUUACAGUGGUUGGGAAAUGCAAUUUCAUACAAAGUUCAUGUAAGGUCCAUCUGUAGUCUCGAUUUAUUGUGAGUGCUAAAUAUCCCACCCAUCAUCAUAAUCAUCAUACAUUUUACUUGUUUGUUUAAUAUUCGUAUUUUGGAACAACAUCUGUAUUUACAUUUGGGUCAUUGGGAGUCAAAAAUGCAUGCAUUUUUUUCUUUCCUUAAUGCAAAUAAGCUCAUUUGCCAUUUCCUCUUAUAGACAAGUAUGUUUUCCACGUGGUGUUGGGGAGGUACUUGAACGCAACACAUGAGAGGGUUUGGGUUCAAGGCCGCAUUAGAGCAACCCCCCCCUCCACGCUGUUGUCAACUUAAACGUCCUUUGCUUUGCGUGAGAGGAUAGAGUUGUGGAGGUGGAAACCCAUUGACUUUAUAUCCUCCGUAUGGUUUCAGGGUUCUCUUUGUGUAGCAAGUUGCAGAGGGGGUCAAUUAUCGUUUUCAUGUUUAGUUUGAGUCAACAUAAACAAGAUCCUGCACAUUUGCAUAGAAGAGACUGUUCUGAGAAACAAAGAACCCCCCUCACACGCACACAACAAUGGAGUAUAGGAUUGCUCAAGAGCAUCUGUGCUUGCAGGUCACGCUGUCCGUAAACCAGUGAGUGCUGCUGUCACAGUGUACAUAUUUCACGAUGACAGAUAAGAUUCAUUGUGUUGUGGCCACACGGACCGGGAGAGUUGUUGCUGCAGCCUGGUGUUGGGUACAUAUCUUUCUUAAGAGGCCAAGUGGUCACUGCUGCUGUGGCUGAAUGUGAGUCCUGCAGCUGCUUAUCUGUUUGCUCGGCUCUUUCCUGUGAAGGUCAAAGAGAGCAGCUCACGUUUAUGAUCCUUCUACACAGGCUUCCUUUACCUGAAGCAGAUGUUGCAGAGGGGUUUGCCGCUGUAAAUAGGUUUACAAGGAGACAACUGUGAUUUGGGGAUCAUAAGUUAUAAUUAGAUCGCUGUAUUGAGCUGUUAAAUGAGUGGAAUGGUUUGUAAUAAAGAAAGUGUAACUAAUGGCACAAAACAGAUCACCUGUGUUACGUCCGGUGGCAUCCGACCCGAGCAGGCCCAUUACAGCUUAUGUGAUGACACACAAUGUAUAUCAGUGUCAUGUAUGUGCUGUGUCUUGUCAGCUGUAAACCAACCCAGACACUGAUUCCCAUGAUGCCUGAGCUGCAGACUGGUCUCACUUUGUGGCCCACUUUCACAGCCAUGGUCUGAUUCAAAAUUAGCCCUGGCCUCAGCUGUCCUCGGAGCUGCACUUGAACCCUGCAGCACCAGUGAAGACUCACACAGGGCGUGCGUUCACUUCAACACAUAGAACAGUGCGUUUUUAUCUUUCUCUCUUGCACACUCAGAAAAAGAAUCCAAGGGAAAAUGUUACGAAUGUGCUGGUUCUUUCAUUUCUCUCAUUCAUUAACGUCCAGUGGUUUUUGUGUAAAGUUCCCGGGAGUUAAUGAUCACAUUGUCGAUUUAAUGUUUAAAAUAAUAAAACAUGGAAAACACAUUAUACAACCCCUUUUCGCAGAAUGUUGUGAAAGCUCUUGAUAAGGCUAAAUAGCAACAGUCAUAAGAAUGUAACAACAGUUAUAAGGCUAGAUAACUAUCAUGCCUCCCAAAGCACAUCUAUGCUUCGUGUCCCUAAAAUGGAUGGUGUGUGGUUAUGAACUUCUCUAACGCCUUUAAAACUUGAAACUGAUUGAAUGUUCUUUGUCUAUUCAUGAUCCAGAGUAAAAGCUAAUCAUUUCGAGUUGACAGGCGGUUUCUUAGUCACUCGUUCUUUUUGUAUUGUGUGAUGUACAAGCCACCUCGACACGAUGUGCUUCCUCAGCCUGCGGAGCCAGUGUUCCCACUCAUUUACUAAAUAUACAUGUUCUUUCAACGAGGCUGCACACGCUUCUUUUUCCUCUGUGCCUCAACACUCAUAGUGGCUGUUAUGUUCUCUCUAAAAAAGCACAGCCUGGUUGGAUUAUAGCCUAAGUUACAUCCUAGUAAGAAUAAUUGGUCCUUAUGGAUUAAUUAGGUGCCAUGAUUAGAGGCACAAAUGUAUAAAUAAUGUGUUAUUUAUUUAAAGUUUUAUAGGUGUUUGCAUUCAUUGUUGAAUAUGCACACUCAAAUAUAAAACCUAUUCUGGAGACAGUAUUGUUACAUUUAUAUAGGUAUAUAGGUCAAAAUCUCCCUAUAGAUGCACUCAGUUCUCUCGCAACCAUAACCAGACCCCUUGCAAAAAAAAAAAAAGAAAAAGAGAGAGGUGCUUUCAGUGCAUUCAUGACCGAAGUUCCUUGAAAACUCCUCUCAGCUGUGGGGGAGGGUUGAGCAACAAUGCUUGGCAAUAGUUUCUCCUUAACAUGAACUCAUGGACACAUUUCCCUUCCUGAAGCAGUUCAUAUAAGAAUAACACACACACACACAAACACACGCACGCGCGCUGAGGUGCUUUCAUGUAUUUUUGUGUCUCAUCGUGACCCAGGUGGGGUAAAGUCCUCACUGCGUGUUAGUGAUACACCACCGUGUGUGAUGAUGGGACUAAACUGUGGAGCAACACUUCACAACAACACAGCCACUCCUCACAACCAGCUGCACAUACACCCUCCUCCCUGUAGGGGCGGGUCAAUCUGUGCACAGCAGCAGACAUGUCACUGCGUAAAACAGCAGAUUUCCGCUGACUGACAGUGUGAGGCACAACAUGUCCGAGGCUGAAGGGGACUGACCACAAAGUCUCAGUCUGAGGACAACAGCUGUUGUGCGAGUCUCUGCAGGAACUUUUCGCCCCUUUUCCUGGAUCGUGCUGGAGCCCCGCCCCCCCUGUGGUGGCGGAAGAAAGCCUGGAUUUCUAGGAAUACAAUCUGGUUGUAACUGGAGGUUUUCGCCCGUGGCCUCCCUGCGCUCUGCUCGGCUCCUCCUUCAGUCCAGCGCAGCGGUAAACAUUUCUGAGGAAGGAGAGGAGCUCCCUCCUCCCUCCUCCGCCUCCUCCUUCUCACGGAGGUGCCAGAGUUCAGUCCGAGUGCGCUGCGCAUCUGGGUCAUGUUAUUGUGUUGACACCGGCCGACACGACACGGCGGUUGUGUAAGAAACAAAUUAUGAACUUCUUUUGGAGUGCGCGUGCGCGUGCGGUAACAGAGGAGGAGGAGGGCACGUGCGUAAUCCAAGUACAGAACGUUCCCUUCCUCGUGCGAGUGUACCGCCGCUGACACGCGCGCUGCAGGAACAACCCAAUGCACCCAGGCCCCCACGGAGCGCGGGAGACACCGGAAGACCCGGUUCAGACCGAGGAGCAGGAGCCAGGGCUGCACAAUGGAGACACAACAGAGACACAACCGGGAGGUGUGGAGCCUGUGGUCUACAACAACAACACUGAAGCAGAGGCAAUGAUAUUAAACUGGAAAAGGAAUAAUGGCUGAAUCAGAAUCAUUGGAAACGACCAUACAAUGGUGAAAAAUACAUACAAAGUACUUGGAGCUAUAGGCUACUUGAGUUUUUUCAUUCAAUAGUACUUUAUAUUUUUACAUCACCACAUUUCAGGCAGAAAUAAUGCAGUACUUUUACCUUAGACACAUUUUGCUGAUUUACUUUGACCCAAAUAGAAUUGUGACUGCUCGAGGUAUCGGCCUAGUACUCAAACAUUUAACUAUUGUAAAAGUACAAAUAAGUAGACACAAGUUGUUCUACUUGACUAAAAGUAAGGACUUGCUUUUAAAUACACUAAAUUCUAGUCUCAUAUUCCCUAAUGCAAUGGUCAAUUACAUACAUUCUAUAUAAUACAGACUUUCAUCUUAAAAAUUGAUGGUCUACCUGCUCUGAUUGGAUCAACGGACCAAAUCACUUCAAGUAAUUGAUUGUUUAUAAAAUAUUUAAAAAAAUAUGUAAAACAAUCCAUUGUUCAUAUGGAGUAGAUAUUUGCUGAUACAUGACGUGGAGUAAAAGUGAAAAGUACCUGGAAAUAAACCCACUUAAAGCAAAGUACAUGCAAUGAAAAAUGUACUUAAGUACACUAACUAAUUAAAUGUACAGUACAUUGUUACAUCCCA